CCGCCCCUUCACGUGCCCGCGGCGUCGCGUCACACCCGGAAGCAGCGUCUGGAUCGGAGCGGGCAGCAAUGAGCGGCGACCUGGGGCCGACGUCUGCAGCGCCCCAUCCCAGGGAGAUCGAACCCGGCAGUGGGGUCCGCAUCGUGGUGGAGUACUGUGAACCCUGCGGCUUCGAGUCGACCUACCUGGAGCUGGCAAGUGCCGUGAAAGAGCAGUAUCCUGGCAUCGAGAUUGAGUCGCGCCUGGGGGGCACAGGGGCCUUUGAGAUCGAGAUCAAUGGACAGCUGGUUUUCUCCAAGCUGGAGAAUGGGGGCUUCCCUUAUGAAAAAGAUCUCAUUGAGGCCAUCCGAAGAGCCAGUAACGGAGAACCCCUAGAAAAGAUCACCAACAGCCGACCUCCCUGCGUCAUCCUGUGACUACAUGGGAUUUCAGGUUCCUGCUCAUCUGGGAUCCAAGCCUUGGUUUCCCCUUUGGUCCUGCAGCCUCCGCAUCGUGUACUUUCGGAUCUUCUGCCGCCUUCGCCUAACUACAAUGCCGAAGACGACCCCCACGACCAUGAACAGCAGAGUGCCCACCACAGUGGCAAUGAUGGUCGUCACAGGACUGGGGACAGAAGCCAAGCCAUAGGUUCAUGAUUUUCCACACCUCCCAACCUUUGCACAUGCUGUUACUUCUGCCUGGACCACCAUAUCUCCAUAGGAUCACCUUUCAAGACUCAUCCUGGAAUAGAUGGCACUCCUCGGUACUAACCCUACGUCGCUGUCAUCCUUGCCCCUUUCCCUUGCUUAGUCAAGGGCUAGCACAUCACAGACCUCUAAUAAACACUUGUUUCAUAGACAAAUGACUGCCUAGGACAUACUCUAAUCUGUUUUUCUCCCCAAAGCUCCCCACUGACCACCAAGGGGCUGGUAGGGGAUGAGGGGCGAUGCUGUAGCUGCACUCUCUUCUCAAUCUACCUUGAGUCCUGGGGAGUCAAACGCUGCCUAUGUCCCUUACAAGACAUCUAGCUACUCAAGGGUGGGGAGGUACUGGGUGUCUUUGCCAUCUUCUCCUGUUCCCCACCCCUCAAGCAUCAUCUUGAGCAGGUCCUCCAUUCACUUGUUGAAGCGAAUUGAAAGGAGGGUCAACAGUGGAAAAGUGGGCAAGGAAGGGACAUGUUGAUGUCAGGAUACCCCCUUUCCGGCAGCAGUGACCACCUAGGG